UCUCCGGAGGCAUGUGCACGCCCUGCUCAUCCACUCUACACCUGUGCACUUACUGUGGGUAUCGGGAGGUGUCGCGUCGUUUACGGCGAGGCGUUAACCGUGCCUACGUUUUACUACAAACGAUUCAGUAUCAGAAUGUGUAUUGCGAUGUAACGCAUCUAUAUACAACUUUCAGCAACGGAUCUCUUGGCUCUCGCAUCGAUGAAGAACGCAGCGAAAUGCGAUAAGUAAUGUGAAUUGCAGAAUUCAGUGAAUCAUCGAAUCUUUGAACGCACCUUGCGCUCCUUGGUAUUCCGAGGAGCAUGCCUGUUUGAGUGUCAUGAAAUUCUCAAACCCAUAAGUCUUUGCGGGCUUACGGGCUUUGGACUUGGAGGCUUGUCGGCGACCGUAAAGUCACAUCGACUCCUCUCAAAUGCAUUAGCUUGAUUCCUUGCGGAUCGGCUCUCGGUGUGAUAAUUGUCUACGCCGUGACCGUGAAGCGUUUUGGCAAGCUUCUAACCGUCUCUAACGAGACAGCUUACUUUGACCUCUGACCUCAAAUCAGGUAGGACUACCCGCUGAACUUAAGCAUAUCAAUAAGCGGAGGAAAAGAAACUAACAAGGAUUCCCCUAGUAACUGCGAGUGAAGCGGGAAAAGCUCAAUUUAAAAUCUGGCGGUCUUUGGCCGUCCGAGUUGUAGUCUGGAGAAGUGCUUUCCGCGCUGGACCGUGUAUAAGUCUCUUGGAACAGAGCGUCAUAGAGGGUGAGAAUCCCGUCUUUGACACGGACUACCAGUGCUUUGUGAUGCGCUCUCGAAGAGUCGAGUUGUUUGGGAAUGCAGCUCAAAAUGGGUGGUAAAUUCCAUCUAAAGCUAAAUAUUGGCGAGAGACCGAUAGCGAACAAGUACCGUGAGGGAAAGAUGAAAAGCACUUUGGAAAGAGAGUUAAACAGUACGUGAAAUUGCUGAAAGGGAAACGCUUGAAGUCAGUCGCGUCUGCCGGAACUCAGCCUUGCUUUCGCUUGGUGCAUUUUCCGGUAGACGGGCCAGCAUCGAUUUUGACCGUCGGAUAAGGGCCAGGGAAAUGUGGCACCCUCGGGUGUGUUAUAGUCUCUGGUCGCAUACGACGGUUGGGAUCGAGGAACGCAGCGCGCCGCAAGGCAGGGGUUCGCCCACUUUCGCGCUUAGGAUGCUGGCGUAAUGGCUUUAAACGACCCGUCUUGAAACACGGACCAAGGAGUCUAACAUGCCUGCGAGUGUUUGGGUGGUAAACCCGAGCGCGUAAUGAAAGUGAAAGUUGAGACCUCUGUCGUGGAGGGCAUCGACGCCCGGACCUGACGUUCUCUGACGGAUCCGCGGUAGAGCAUGUAUGUUGGGACCCGAAAGAUGGUGAACUAUGCCUGAAUAGGGUGAAGCCAGAGGAAACUCUGGUGGAGGCUCGUAGCGAUUCUGACGUGCAAAUCGAUCGUCAAAUUUGGGUAUAGGGGCGAAAGACAAUC
rnacentral:rRNA from 1 species